rnacentral:rRNA from 1 species
GAUGGGCAUGCGUUGUAUUAGCUAGUUGGUGGGGUAACGGCUCACCAAGGCGACGAUACAUAGGGGGACUGAGAGGUUAACCCCCCACACUGGUACUGAGACACGGACCAGACUCCUACGGGAGGCAGCAGUGAGGAAUAUUGGUCAAUGGACGCAAGUCUGAACCAGCCAUGCCGCGUGCAGGAUGACGGCUCUAUGAGUUGUAAACUGCUUUUGUACGAGGGUAAACGCUCUUACGUGUAAGAGCCUGAAAGUAUCGUACGAAUAAGGAUCGGCUAACUCCGUGCCAGCAGCCGCGGUAAUACGGAGGAUUCAAGCGUUAUCCGGAUUUAUUGGGUUUAAAGGGUGCGUAGGCGGUUUGAUAAGUUAGAGGUGAAAUUUCGGGGCUCAACCCUGAACGUGCCUCUAAUACUGUUGAGCUAGAGAGUAGUUGCGGUAGGCGGAAUGUAUGGUGUAGCGGUGAAAUGCUUAGAGAUCAUACAGAACACCGAUUGCGAAGGCAGCUUACCAAACUAUAUCUGACGUUGAGGCACGAAAGCGUGGGGAGCAAACAGGAUUAGAUACCCUGGUAGUCCACGCAGUAAACGAUGAUAACUCGUUGUCGGCGAUACACAGUCGGUGACUAAGCGAAAGCGAUAAGUUAUCCACCUGGGGAGUACGUUCGCAAGAAUGAAACUCAAAGGAAUUGACGGGGGCCCGCACAAGCGGAGGAACAUGUGGUUUAAUUCGAUGAUACGCGAGGAACCUUACCCGGGCUUGAAAGUUAGCGACGAUUCUUGAAAGAGGAUUUCCCUUCGGGGCGCGAAACUAGGUGCUGCAUGGUUGUCGUCAGCUCGUGCCGUGAGGUGUCGGGUUAAGUCCCAUAACGAGCGCAACCCCUACCGUUAGUUGCCAUCAGGUGAAGCUGGGCACUCUGGCGGGACUGCCGGUGUAAGCCGAGAGGAAGGUGGGGAUGACGUCAAAUCAGCACGGCCCUUACGUCCGGGGCUACACACGUGUUACAAUGGUAGGUACAGAGGGCAGCUACCCAGCGAUGGGAUGCGAAUCUCGAAAGCCUAUCUCAGUUCGGAUUGGAGGCUGAAACCCGCCUCCAUGAAGUUGGAUUCGCUAGUAAUCGCGCAUCAGCCAUGGCGCG